rnacentral:rRNA from 1 species
UACGUAGGGGGCAAGCGUUGUCCGGAUUUAUUGGGCGUAAAGAGCUCGUAGGCGGUUCGGUAAGUCGGGUGUGAAACCUCCAGGCUCAACCUGGAGACGCCACCCGAUACUGCUGUGACUAGAGUCCGGUAGGGGAGCGUGGAAUUCCUGGUGUAGCGGUGAAAUGCGCAGAUAUCAGGAAGAACACCAGUGGCGAAGGCGGCUAACUGGUCCAGUACUGACGCUGAGGUGCGAAAGCGUGGGGAGCAAACAGG